UUCAUGUUCUUCCUGAAUCUUUGGUAAUUCAUGCGAUCUAGAGUGGAUGAAAGCUGAUUGGCACUUGUGAGGGACUGCAAUGCGCUUGCCAUCCUUGAUCUCAAUGUUGGAUUUGUUUGCCUCUCUAUUAGCUCAUUGGCUAAUUUCUGCAACCAAAAAUGCCUCAUAACGCAUUAAUCAAAUACGCCGAUUCAAAACUUGUUUGUUCUUUGAGGGAGGGGAUGCGAAGGAUGCGAUCAAUCAUUGUUCUAUUACCAUUCUGUGAAAUAUUUAAUGAACUUAAUAUUUUAAACACUAGCGAACUUGACUUCUACAAGCUAAACACGCCCCCUGCAAAUAUGUCCUUCGAUCAAAAAGA
rnacentral:lncRNA from 1 species